rnacentral:lncRNA from 1 species
GAGGAGGAGAUGCCGCCGCCGCCGCCGCUACUCCUGCAGCUGCCGCCUCCUCCUGCCGCCUCCGCCCGCCGCCGGCUCCGGGCGGUGCGAGGCUCCGGGCCACAGCUCAGCUGCCCCCCGCCCGCCGGCCCGCCGCACGCGGCCUGGGGCCUGCUUCCCUGAGCGCUCGCCGCCGCCGCCGCCGCGACUUGAGCUUUUUUUUUUUUUCCUCCUUUACUGGAGCUGCGCGCGCGCGGUGGCGGCGACGGCGCGAUCCCGGGGCGGGCGGGCGCGCGCGCGCGGGAGAGGGCAGGCCCUGGGGAACGCGCGCGCUGUCUGUCUUUGGUGACGGCCGGGCGCGUACACACACACAGGCCCGGGGACUCUACACGGGACCACCACCGGUUGGAACGCAGGCCCGGCUGGAAGGCCGGCAACACGGAUGCGGGGCUCAGAUCGUGGGGCACAGGGUUUGAAGACUGUAAAAGUAGGUCGUAUAGGAGCCGGGAGGUUGGGGAGCCGGGUUGCGCGCUCGCGCGCUCCCGAAGGCGCAUGCGCACGUCGGGGCGGGGCAGGGCAGGGCGGAGGCGGCAAGGGGCACGUACUCUAGGCUGCUGGCUGCGGAGAAGGCUAAAGGCCUGUUUGGCCGCUUCUUUUGCUGGUCCCCCUCCUCCCAACUCGUGCAGCAAAAUAAGAGGCUUUGAUCUUGUGAUCAGGAAUUUUAUUAGGCUUGGUGAAGAGUUUCAUCAAUAUUCCAAUUAAAAAAAAAGUAUAAAAGCUACAUAAC